GUCUUUUUGGUAUAUUAAUAUAAAGUCUGACCUGCCCACUGAUAAAUUCAUUAAAGGGCCGCAGUAUUUUGACUGUGCAAAGGUAGCAUAAUCAUUAGUCUUUUAAUUGGAGGCUGGUAUGAAUGGUUGGAUGAGAUACAUGCUGUGUCAUAUAAAAUUAAUAAUUGAAUUUAACCUUUUAGUCAAAAGGCUAAAAUAUUAUUAAAAGACGAGAAGACCCUAUAGAGCUUUAUAUAAAAAAUAUUUAACUUAUUUAGAUUUUUCAUAUUUAAUUAUUAUUUUAUAUUUUGUUGGGGUGACAAUAAAAUUUAUAAAACUUUUAUUUUUUAUUUACAUUAAUUUAUGACUAAAUGAUCCAGUUUUAUUGAUUAUAAAAUUAAGUUACCUUAGGGAUAACAGCGUAAUUUUUUUUGAGAGUUCUUAUCGACAAAAAAGAUUGCGACCUCGAUGUUGGAUUAAGAGUAAUUUUGGGUGUAGAAGUUCAAAUUUUAAGUCUGUUCGACUUUUAAAUUCUUACAU
rnacentral:rRNA from 1 species